AUGUCGACGGCAUUCUUGCUGCCCGCGGUGCUCCUGGUGGCAGCGGCAGUGGCAGCCACCACGGAGGCAACCAAGAACCUCGUCGUGACUCGUGGCUGCGUGACGAGCUGCGGUGGCGUGGACAUCCCCUACCCCUUCGGCAUCGGCAGCGGCUGCUUCCGGAAGGGCUUCGAGAUAGAGUGCAUCAAGAACAGCCCUGUGCUUGCCGGCACGUCCAUUCACGUGGUACACCUGUCGGGGGAUCCUGCAGAGUCGCUGGUGAUGCUCCCUGUUGGGUGGCAGUGCUACAACACAAGCAGCCCAGACAAGGUCGAGGCCAGCAGCCAUGGUGAGACGGAGAUGAACAAGCAUGGUGUGUACCGCCUGUCCAACACGCACAACAUGCUCGUCAUCCUAGGCUGCAACACCAUGGGCAACAUUGGGAGCGUCAGAACCACGCGUGACGUCGACGAAUACUCCUACUACAUGGGGUGCAUGACCUUCUGCAACUACUCGGCGACCGCGCAGGACGGCCUCUGCGCCAGUGUCGGGUGUUGCCACGUUGACAUCCCGCCGGGGCUCACCCACAACUACUUCUAUUUCCGUGUGUACGACCACACCGGCAUGAUGGACUUCAGCCCAUGCGACUACGCCUUCCUCGUCGACAGGACCAACUACACCUUUCGGCGCUCUGACCUCCUCAGGGACACAAACCGGACCUCACCGGUGUGGCUGGACUGGGCCAUUCGCGGCGAUGAUGACUCUACCUCAUUAUCAUGCGCUGAAGCGGCCAAGGCCACGACAACGGAGUAUGCCUGCGUCAGCAAUCACAGCGACUGUGUCAACGCCACCAAUGGGCCUGGUUACAACUGCAGAUGCUCCAAAGGCUACCAGGGCAACGCCUACCUUGUCAACGGCUGCAGCAACAUAGAUGAAUGUGCGGAUCCAGCAAAGUAUCCUUGCAAAGGUGUAUGCAGGGACACCGAAGGAUCUUACCAAUGCACCUGUGGUCCAGGUUAUGGGAGCGAUGACCCAAAAACUCAACGCUGCACUCCAAAGUUCCCACUUGCUGCACAGAUUUGCAUAGGUACAAUAGGUGGUACUCUUGUCAUCGCAUUUAUGGCAUUCGUCAUUAUUAUUCGGAAAGAGAAGCAGAAGACCAAAGAGUUCUAUGAGAAAAAUGGUGGUCUUACCUUAGAGAAAGCUAAAGUUAUAAAGCUUUUCAAAAAAGAGGAGCUCAAGCCAGUUUUAAAGAGUAGCAAUUUAAUUGGAAAAGGUGGCUUUGGUGAAGUUUACAAGGGGGUUGUUGAUGACAUACUAGUCGCAGUAAAGAAACCAAUUAGUGGUAAUGUGCUGGAGAACAAGCAAUUUGCAAAUGAAGUCAUCAUCCAAUCCCAAGUCAUCCACAAGAACAUUGUUAGGCUCAUAGGUUGUUGCCUAGAAGUGGAUACCCCCAUGCUAGUGUACGAGUUCAUUUCGAAAGGAAGUUUGCACGACAUUCUUCACAGGGUUGACAACAAGGAGCCUCUCAACUUGGAUGUGCGUCUAAGCAUUGUUGCUGAAUCUGCACAUGGUCUAGCUUAUAUGCAUUCACAGGCCCAUACCAAAAUCCUGCACGGUGAUGUUAAACCAGCAAAUAUACUCUUGGAUGACAAUUUUGUGCCAAAGAUCUCAGACUUUGGCAUAUCAAGGUUGAUUGCAAUAGACAAGGAACACACUGCAAAUGUCAUUGGUGACAUGACUUAUAUGGACCCAGUAUACCUACAAACAGGCCUAUUGACUGAAAAAAGUGAUGUCUACAGUUUUGGGGUUGUCAUCUUAGAGGUCAUUAGCAGGAAGAAGGCCACUCAUUCUGACAACAACAGCUUGGUGACGAGUUUCCUCGAGUGCCACAAAGAGAAGAAGAAAGCAACCGAGUUGUUUGAUAAGGAAAUUGCAACCACAGGAAAUUUGGAGCUUCUUGACACACUAGCAGGGAUUGCUGUGGGAUGUCUCAACCUUGAUGUGGAUCAAAGGCCAUCAAUGACAGACGUUGUGGCGCGCCUUCUCACAUUGAGUCGAUCACGUAUGGUGUAA
rnacentral:rRNA from 1 species